AAAAUAAAACUGCAACUGAACAAAACUUAGAAAAGGUGGUUUUCCAGGGUGAUGCUCACCCAUUGCACUGUGGGGUGUGCUGACCCCUGCGAUUUCCCCAAAUGUGGGAAACUCAACUGCGUAAUUUAUGGUAGCAGGGGACUGCGUGUGUGCUCUCUCCUG